rnacentral:lncRNA from 1 species
GAAAGUUUAGAAAUAUUCCAGAAUGAAGUAGCUCGGCAAUUAAUAAGUGAAAAAGGUACAAUAAACUUUUUACAUGCCGAUUGUGACAAAUUUAGACAUCCUCUUCUGCACAUACAGAAAACUCCAGCAGAUUGUCCUGUAAUCGCUAUUGACAGCUUUAGGCAUAUGUAUGUGUUUGGAGACUUCAAAGAUGUAUUAAUUCCUGGAAAACUCAAGCAAUUCGUAUUUGACUUACAUUCUGGAAAACUGCACAGAGAAUUCCAUCAUGGACCUGACCCAACUGAUACAGCCCCAGGAGAGCAAGCCCAAGAUGUAGCAAGCAGUCCACCUGAGAGCUCCUUCCAGAAACUAGCACCCAGUGAAUAUAGGUAUACUCUAUUGAGGGAUCGAGAUGAGCUUUAAAAACUUGAAAAACAGUUUGUAAGCCUUUCAACAGCAGCAUCAACCUACGUGGUGGAAAUAGUAAACCUAUAUUUUCAUAAUUCUAUGUGUAUUUUUAUUUUGAAUAAACAGAAAGAAAUUUUGGGUUUUUAAUUUUUUUCUCCCCGACUCAAAAUGCAUUGUCAUUUAAUAUAGUAGCCUCUUAAAAAAAAAAAACCUGCUAGGAUUUAAAAAUAAAAAUCAGAGGCCUAUCUCCACUUUAAAUCUGUCCUGUAAAAGUUUUAUAAAUCAAAUGAAAGGUGACAUUGCCAGAAACUUACCAUUAACUUGCACUACUAGGGUAGGGAGGACUUAGGGAUGUUUCCUGUGUCGUAUGUGCUUUUCUUUCUUUCAUAUGAUCAAUUCUGUUGGUAUUUUCAGUAUCUCAUUUCUCAAAGCUAAAGAGAUAUACAUUCUGGAUACUUGGGAGGGGAAUAAAUUAAAGUUU